GACGAACGCUGGCGGCGUGCUUAACACAUGCAAGUCGAACGGAAAGGCCCUGCUUUUGUGGGGUGCUCGAGUGGCGAAAGGGUGAGUAACACGUGAGUAAACUGUCCUUGACUUUGGGAUAACUUCAGGAAACUGGGGCUAAUACCGGAUAGGAGCUCCUGCUGCAUGGUGGGGGUUGGAAAGUUUCGGCGGUUGGGGAUGGACUCGCGGCUUAUCAGCUUGUUGGUGGGGUGGUGGGGUACCAAGGCUUUGACGGGUAGCCGGCCUGAGAGGGUGACCGGCCACAUUGGGACUGAGAUACGGCCCAGACUCCUACGGGAGGCAGCAGUGGGGAAUAUUGCACAAUGGGCGGAAGCCUGAUGCAGCAACGCCGCGUGCGGGAUGACGGCCUUCGGGUUGUAAACCGUUUUCGCCUGUGACGAAGCGUGAGUGACGGUAAUGGGUAAAGAAGCACCGGCUAACUACGUG
rnacentral:rRNA from 1 species